ACGAUCCUUUCGUCUUUCUAAUUUUUUACAUGCGCACGCGCACGCGCGUGCGCAUACGAUCUCUGUAAAGAAAGAAGAACGUGUGACGGUUAAAUGCUUUGCGAUCAUUCGAGUUAUUUAACUGUGGCGCGACAGAUGCGUGCAAAGAAUAGAAGAAGCAGGGUAUCAAAUAGUGACUUUAAAGUGUGAUGAGUGACAAAAUUGAUUCGCGACCCAAUGAGGAAGAAUCUAAUGAGAAAUCUCAAGUCAGCGCUUUUUAUGCAUUUGGAAAAGCAAAAGUCAUCAAAUUAUUUUUUUUCUCUCUUUUACUUUUCUCUUUCUGUUCCUUUUUCUGCUUUUUUAUUUCCUGCGUGACGUGUUUCUUUUUCUGUCUCAUUUGCAAUACAGUCGCGUGAAUGACCGAAUGCCAUGCUGACGAAUUUUUCACUAUGGAUGCACGCGAUGUAAUGGGUCAUAUUUAAAUCUCGACCUUCAUAGAAAAUAUAUUUACAAAAUUUAUAUAAACUACUUUAUAAUAAACUUAGAUUCUCUAAAGUUUCAAAAACUUGAUUUUUUUUCUUAUUAUUUUUUUUUAUUAAUAAAGAUUUAAAAUUUAUUGAUAAAAAUAUCAUUACAUUCAUAAACAAUUUUUUAUAUUUUUUCAGAAAUUUCAAGCAAUUCAAGCAAUCAAUUUGAUACUUAUGUAAUUACUUACAUUUUAUUUAAAUAUUCAAAUUAUAAUUUCAUAGCAAUGAUUUUACUUUUUAAAUUUUUGCAAUUCUUUUUUUUUUAAAUCGAAGAAUAAAUAUAUACAUAUAUUUAUCUUAAAGCAUGAUAUCUUAAAGCACACUUUUAUUAAAUUUAUUAAAAGUUAAUUACAAUUCAUCGUUAGAAUUUAAUGGGAUAAUUUGAUAUUAGUAAUAAUUUUUAAAUUAGAAUGCUAAUAAUGAAACAAACAUUAAAAUAUCGAUUGACUGAGUAAUUUUCGAGUAAUUCAUGAAACAAGAUUCAUGUUUGCAAGAAAUCACGAAGAAUUCUCGAUCGCACGUUUGAUUUGUACAUCUGGCAGGCCUUUCUGUCGUUUCGUUUUGUACUCUUCGCCGUGCUAUUUAUUCCUUCCGCUGUCCGGUUAGCUUUUUCUUCCUUAGACCUUGUUUUUGUUCUCUCCAUUAAUUGAAUCGCUCAAUUUUAAGCGCAAUUGGCCUGCAUUUACAAAACGAAUCAUAUUUCAAACAUUUGUAAUAUUUGUUGAUCCAAAAAUUAUUUUCAUUCAUUAUAAUCAGUUUUCUAUAUAUUAUAUAUAAUUAGUUUAUAAAUUCUUUGUUAAUCAAAGUGUUUGAAAAUCGAUUCACUUACAAUUAUAAUCAACUACAUUCAUUAUCUAUUUUAUAAUUUGCAGAUAAAUUGCACAUAUUCCAGUUUCAUGUGAAUAUGUUCAUUUGAAAAUUGUUUCAUUAUAUGUAAUUUAAUGUAUUUGAAAAUAAUUCUAGUUAUAUUUAGUUUGUUUUGUUGCGAAAUAUAAUUAAACAAACACUUAUAUUUUAUCAUUCAAAAGAAAUUCGUGAAACAAUACAAGAGCAAAAUUUUCUUUACUCAUCGAUAUAUAGUGCAUCUUAUCUGAUAUAACAUUUUUGAUUACGAUACAUUAUUUUUACGAAUGUAUUAGAUUCAAAUUUAAUUAAAAUUGCAUUUCUUCCAGAGAAUUUUUUGUCAAUCAUAAAUUGUAUAUUCUUAAAAAAAAAAAUGUUCCUUUUUUAAUUCGUAUAUAAUAUAAAUUACUAUUCAUGAAGAAGUAUAUAUGAAGUUGCAUGAAUUUUAAAAUAAAAUAAUUCGGUAAUAAUUUUUAAAUCAAUCAACUAGUACAAGCAUUCCGGAAAACCAUAGUAUUGUAUUCACUGAAAGGGAUAAUAGAAAUAACUAUUAAUAGACAUACGUAUAAUUUGUGUAUACGAAGAUGUAUUUACGAUUUAACAGAAAUACCAUUCGUCGUUAACAAGAAUGAAGUCGGAAAUAAUUUCGAUUAAUUUCUACUAUUGCUUAUUUUCACUCAAGAAUAUUCCACAUAAAGUUUUACAUUUAUAUCAUAAUGAAAUAGCAUCCUCAAAAAAAGGAUAGGAUAGCUCGAAAAAAAUUCUAAACUUUUUUCUCGCGCCGCAUUCUCCAAAUCUUAUCGUUUAUAAUGAUCGGCCGACCGCUGGAAAUAGUUCCACGAUGUAGCAUGGCAUUCGUUCUGUUCUCCCCUACUUUAUCCUUUUUCUUCUUCUACCCUAUAGCAAGCUCUAAAGCGAAUUCCGUGGACAUACGUUAGUGUCUGCCGAGUAUUCCAGAACAGAGUGUCGGCGCCUAGAAGCCACAGCAUUUAUCCAUUGGGUCCUACAAACAUGUCUCCGGGUGCGUGCAUUAUAUGAAAGGUGCGAUAUACAUAGCACGUACGACAAGUGGUAGGGGUAGUGCAGUGGCCCGUGCCGCCUGAAAUACACGGACAACCGACUCUCUGGCACUCGACUCCAUUCUGAGUGUGGUAGCACACCGAAGAACUCUCCCUCAACACCCGCGCCCCCUUCCUCUUCCUGUUUCGGCCGUUUGCUCUUCAAACGCAUCUUGCUGCUCGUGACUCCUUUACUCUUCCUCCUUCCUUCUCUUCUUUCCUUCUCAUUUCUAUCUCUUCCUAUCUUCAAGUGCUCUUUACACUCUUUAAGAACAUUCGUGGUUUUCUCUGGUUCAACCCACCAUUCCGAUACACCAUCGUUUUCUAUCACGUUUUCCUUCGUUCCACGGAACGAAACGGUAAAUUACGCGAACGAAAUUAUCUUUGUUUUUUGUCGUUUUUUCGCGAUCGUUUCGUUUCCCCCAGUUUUUUCUACCGCUCUUCUCUUCCACUCUUAAAAACAUUACGCGGUGUACAUUUUUGUCGAGAGAGACACCCAACGUAAGUUUUCGGCGAAACAUAAGAGACCCUUGACGAAUGGUUUCAACGCUUUCUUACCGCGUCGUCGUAUUUUUUACGAGACUGUUUCUGCAUCGUCGAGUUACGUGGUUCCAUUUGGCACGCAUUAUUCGCAUGUAUGAUAUUACAUGGCCUAUACAUUUGGUUCAUCUUAUUAUCGGAAUAAAUAUAAAUUCUUAAUAAAUGAAAUAUAUUUAACAUCUAUUUCGAAAUAUAUUUAUUUUUUUCAAAAUCUUUUUACGUUGCAGUGUUAUGAAAAUCAAUAAUGUAUUUCAAAUGUAAUAUAUUUAUUAAUAUAAUAGAAUUUUUUUAAAAAAAAGCUUAAAUAGCGAAUUGAUUAAAAUUUCUUGAUCUUGAAAUUUUUAUAUAUUAAUUUUUUAAUUAUAUAGAAAAGUGUGUUAUCAAAAAUUGAAAGUAUAGCAUCGAUUUAGUAAACUUUAUCUCGAGUCGAGUUAAAAAGUAUAUUUUAUAUGGUUUGAAGAUUUUUAUGUGCUACCUAAAAAUAAAUAUAAAAAUAUUGUGCACUCGUGUUCAUAUUGUGAAAGCAGAAGCUAUCUUUCUUUUCAUACCACCCUUUCGAUGAUCACGAUGACGAGAACGACGAUAGCUUAGUUUCAAGAAACUCUUUUUUUUCUCCACUAAAAAUAUUUUCAGUGCAAAGUUUUCAAGGAAGUCGGAGAAAAAGUAAAAAUAAAUUUAAAACUUCUCGUUCUUCGAACGAGGACGAAAACGACGGCGUCGAUAUAUGCGACGAGCACUAGAUAUUAUAUCGUAUGUAACGUGGCGAAGAUGUGUGUGUAUAAAUAUAUGGAAUCGAUGUGAUUCAUGGGUGGUAAUAUAAUGCGUGGGCGCAAUGGGUAAGGUGGUUCGUUUAUAUUUCAAAUGAAUAGCAAAUAUUUAGUUAAUAAAUAAAUAAAAUAGAAUAAAAUAGAUUUUUCUAUAAUUUUGCUUGGUAUCUGUAUUUAUUUGUUUAACGUUAUAUAUAUAUAUAUAAAAUUCACAGAAUUAAAUUCAGAAAUUUUAAAAAAUUUCUCAAUAAUUUUAUAAACAUAUCAAAUAUAAUAUUUAGAUUCGUAAAGUUAAGAAGAAUUCAUUUCUCUGAACUUAGAAACGUUCGCUGGAAUUGAGAUAUCCGAAUACGAGAAAUUCUGAAAGCAUGCAAAGAGCAGAAUACUGUAGUUGCGCGCGCAUCGAUUCUCUGCAGAUAUGUUUCGCUCGAUUUCUCUUCGCGACUAUGUAGUAGUGAGUGAACGUGUAUAUACGAUACCAUAAGAUAUCGCAUCCUCAGAAUGCUUAAUUUCGUUAGAACCAUUAUUGAAAAUCGACAUGAUACGUUACUUCAUGAGAAAUAUAACAAUAACAGGAUCACGUUCGAUUUAUGUGACAAUACUUGGAAAAUUACAAUCGAAAAUUCUAUCGUAUUUGAUCUAUUAAAAGAAAAAAGUAAGAAGAUAACUUAAAUUGUGAAUGCGUUAUCGAGAAACAAAAAACAAUUAAUACAGAUAGUAGAGAAAAAGAUGGCAAAAUUGAAAUAGAAAAAUCUGUAGAAGGAAAUUGAACUGAGAUGGAAAUAAAUAUAUGGGGGAAAAAGGAUGGAGACUCGAAGAAAAAUUGACAGCCUCGGGAUCGGAGAGGGGAAGGUGAAAGGACAAAACGAGUUAGUGUGAUCGGUGAACAGAUAAGUAGUACAGAUCUUGUGGUUGUGACGACAAAUAUGGUCAUAAUUACACGUGUAAGGAAGUGUAACAACGAACCUGUUCUUUCUUUUCUGUCUAGAGAAGUUUUAGCCAUUUUCGGACAACUGUAUUGCGUCUCGCCAAACUGAUAAUCAGUAAUAGUCAAUAAUGAUGGCUGAUAAUAGUACUAGGAAACUAACCUUCUGUUGAUUUAUCACAUUAUUCAAUCUCUAAUAGGUUUCUGGCGCCAGCAGUCACGCAAAAUUCAAUUAUAAUUCAUUAUAUAUAUAAAUUUAUAAAUUAUAUCUUGAUUUACUAACGAUCAAAUCGAAAAUAUUCUAGUGUGACCUACUUUCGUCUAAAAUCUCUUACAAAUUCAAUUGCAUGAUAGAGUGAGGGAGAAGUGAUUAUAAAAAUAAAUACAAAAUCUAAUGCCAGCCACACCCACUAUCAUGCAAAUUGACAAUCAACCAUCCCACGCUCGUGCAUCGAAUCAGAUCGGUCUGAAUACGAGCGAAAACUUGCAUAGUCAGUGCUAACGAGCAUGCAAAAGUGCAUUUUAAUAUAAGUGUUGAACGCUGAAGUGGCAAGAGAACGACAGCAUCGACAAACGCUUAUCGUACAAUUUGAUUCGAUUUUUAUUAUAUGUAUGCAAACAUAAAUAUACGUAUGUAUGUAUGCAUAUGAUGAAGCAAGCAAUAUUCUGGGUAUCUACCAGCGGCAGACACCACGUAAUGCUUGGCGUAGUUGGUGAAUGGCCCCUUGAUCCAGAUUUUUGUAGGGUGAUUUUUGCACACUCAGGGCCACCUAAAUAUAGCACUCGGCACUCGACAUUGCAGUUGCCGUCUCGAUAGUGUACAGCCAAAAGAGCGAGGAGGGAGGAGACAGUCCUCACGUUAGGCGUUUCCUUCGUCUUUUUCAUUUUUCCUUCAAUCAAAUUACUUCUUAUUCUUCUUUCAAUUCCUGUUCUAAUUUUUUAUACUUUUUAUCUCGUUUAAUUUUCUGAUUUUUACUUUCUAUUAAUAAAAUUGUCUGUAUUUUUAUAUAUCUCUUUAUAUUUGUUAAAAUAAAAUAAUGCUUGAUAUGUUAUAUCAUA